rnacentral:rRNA from 1 species
GACGAACGCUGGCGGCGUGCUUAACACAUGCAAGUCGAACGGAAAGGCCCUGCUUUUUUUGGGUGCUCGAGUGGCGAACGGGUGAGUAACACGUGAGUAACCUGCCCUUGACUUUGGGAUAACUUCAGGAAACUGGGGCUAAUACCGGAUAGGUGCUCCUGCUGCAUGGUUGGGGUUGGAAAGUUUCGGCGGUUGGGGAUGGACUCGCGGCUUAUCAGCUUGUUGGUGGGGUAGUGGCUUACCAAGGCUUUGACGGGUAGCCGGCCUGAGAGGGUGACCGGCCACAUUGGGACUGAGAUACGGACCAGAAUCCUACGGGAGGCAGCAGUGGGGAAUAUUGCACAAUGGGCGGAAGCCUGAUGAAGCAACGCCGCGUGCGGGAUGACGGCCUUCGGGUUGUAAACCGCUUUCGCCUGUGACGAAGCGUGAGUGACGGUAAUGGGUAAAGAAGCACCGGCUAACUACGUG